rnacentral:rRNA from 1 species
UAUGGUGUGUGCCAGCAGCCGCGGUAAUACGUAUGGAGCAAGCGUUAUCCGGAUUUACUGGGUGUAAAGGGAGUGUAGGUGGCCAUGCAAGUCAGAAGUGAAAAUCCGGGGCUCAACCCCGGAACUGCUUUUGAAACUGUGAGGCUAGAGUGCAGGAGGGGUGAGUGGAAUUCCUAGUGUAGCGGUGAAAUGCGUAGAUAUUAGGAGGAACACCAGUGGCGAAGGCGGCUCACUGGACUGUAACUGACACUGAGGCUCGAAAGCGUGGGGAGCAAACAGG